AACGAACGCUGGCGGCGCGCCUAACACAUGCAAGUCGAACGAGAAUCCGGGGCAACCCGGUAGUAAAGUGGCAAACGGGUGAGGAAUACAUGGGUAACCUACCCUUGAGAAGGGAAUAACCCGCCGAAAGGUGAGCUAAUACCCUAUACGCUAUCUUUUUUUCGAAAAGAAUAGGAAAGACCGGGUCGAGGACCUGGUACUCAAGGAGGGGCGUCAUGUCCUAUCAGCUUGUUGGUGGGGUAACGGGCCUACCAAGGCUACGACGGGUAGGCUGGUCUGAGAGGAUGAUCAGCCACACUGGCACUGAGAUACGGGCCAGACUCCUACGGGAGGCAGCAGUGAGGAAUUUUGGACAAUGGGCGCAAGCCUGAUCCAGCAAUGCCGCGUGCAGGAUGAAGGCCUCGGUUGGUAACUAGCUUUGUUACGGUAACGAAACGGACGUCUUU
rnacentral:rRNA from 1 species